GCCGCCGUAACGUAGUCCGGUAGCGUACAGGCCUGUGGAGCCUGGAGGCCGGGUUCAAAUCCCGGCGGCGGCC
rnacentral:tRNA from 1 species